AUGGCCCGUGCUGUUGUUCCGUUAAAUUUUAAUGCGUUCCUUGAGAAAGCAAAGUUGAAAGAAGAUGGUAGCAAUUACACGGACUGGGUCCGUAACUUGAGGAUUAUCCUCAUUGCUGCACAGAAGAAUUACGUCCUGGAAGCACCGCUGGGUGCCAGGCCUGCUGCUGGAGCAACACCAGAUGUUGUGAAUGUCUGGCAGAGCAAAGCUGAUGACUACUCGAUAGUUCAGUGUGCCAUGCUUUACGGCUUAGAACCGGGACUUCAACGACGUUUUGAACGUCAUGGAGCAUAUGAGAUGUUCCAGGAGUUGAAGUUAAUAUUUCAAGCAAAUGCCCGGAUU
rnacentral:rRNA from 1 species